CAAUGUAUUUACUAUUUGAGAACAUAUAUCGUUGAAGCUAAGGCUAUGAAGCAAAAGUUUUACCAUGUUUAACGGAUAUUUUCCUAGUAGCAGACAAUGUGUGAAAAAGAAAUGGAAUGAAUAGAUGAAUACCUACUUGUAUUUUUUGAUUUCUUAAAAUAAAUGAUAACAUUAAAUUUCAGAUUAAUUACUUACGGUCAUGGCGUGUAAUUAAUUAGAGUUUAAAAGUGUAUCAUCAAAAAAUACUAUUGUACCUCU
rnacentral:lncRNA from 1 species